GAAAGUCAUCCAGCUCAAGUAUGGAGCCAGCAUCACAGAGAGCAGGCCCGGAGAAUGGGAAACGAAGGAGGAGGUGGCUGCACGUUUUCCAGCGAAACAUUCUUAGGGCUCUGGCUGGCCCAGUGGAGAUGGGGAAUGGAGAAGAAAGAUUCCAAACUAUGUAGGAAAAAUAUUUAUGCCUCAUUCUUUCAUAAAAGACACAAUGACUCAGGACUCAGG
rnacentral:lncRNA from 10 species